ACAAAGGAUCAAGAGAUGGUUUCCACACUGGCAAGGAGUAAUCUUGGAGACAGGAAGAGACUGGUGAUUCAAGAGAGAGUAGACAGAAGAAGGCGCUGUCUGGGGGAGACAGGAAGUUUACAAGUAAAGCCUCUAUUCUUUGUUCUGUGUAGCCUCUGAAGUAUGUGCCUGAUUAGCUUAGGGGUCAGUUAAUGAUUAGACAGAAACUUCCCUGAAGGCCUUGAGCCAAUGUCUCCCACUCUUACAAGGGGCUCUGAGUACAUAGUGGGGCACAUCUGCAAUGCUCUGGAAGUUUGCCACUCUGCCUUAACCUUGACUUCCUGUUUGCAUAAGGCCUUAAGGUCACCUCCAGGUUAAUAUUCAUCUGUAGCCUGAGUGACCCCAAAAAGAUGACACUCUUCUGUCCACCAAAACCUUCCAGAGGCUUCCUGUGCUCACUUGAAGUAAAAUCCAAAGUGCUGACUGUGGUUACCAGCUCCCCGGGCUGGCCUGCUGCGGGACGGCUUCUCCACCAGCCUCCCGUUCAAGGCCUCCAUUUCUGCCACUGCGGCGUCUGCAUGGUUCCUGAGCAUCCCAAGCACAUUCCCACCUCAAGGCCUUGGUGCUUGCAGUUCAUCUGCUUCUCUCCUGGUCUAUGCCUGGCUGGUUCUUAUUUCUUUUGAAUUCGGACGAGGUGCACCUCAUGAGAGAGGCCUUCCUUGACCUCCCUCCUCCAUUCCUCUCACAGGCCCCAUCUGACAUGCUUGCCCUCCCCCUCCCCUACCCCCAUCCCCUUGUGAGCCCCAUGAGAGAAGGGCCUCUGUCCUUAGGUAGAUGUGAUUCCCCAGAACCCAGGACAGGACAGCCACACAGGAGGAAACUGACACACUUUUCUUAAAUGAUGGAAUAAAGUACUGACUGUGUUUCAAGCAC
rnacentral:lncRNA from 1 species